CACUAAUUAGCUAGCCCGCCUUCGUGAACAACCAAAUCUUAUAAAUAAACCCCCACACCCGACACCCAAGUAAGCAAACCAUUUUUCCCCCUUAGUAUAGGCGAUAGAAAAGGACAAACGGAGCCAUAGAAAAAGUACCGCAAGGGAAAGCUGAAAGAGAAAUGAAACAGCCCAGUAAAGUUUACUAAAGCAGAGCUUAAAUCUCGUACCUUUUGCAUCAUGAUUUAGCCAGUGUCACCAAGCAAAGAGUCCUUUAGUCUGACACCCCGAACCCAGGUGAGCUACUCCAAGACAGCCUAUAAUUUAGGGCAAACCCGUCUCUGUGGCAAAAGAGUGGAAAGAGCUUUGAGUAGAGGUGAUAAGCCUAUCGAACCCGGUUAUAGCUGGUUGCCUAAGAAUUGGAUAGAAGUUCAGCCCCCGACUUUCUCCGUCCAGGCCUUAUCUUCUGGUAAUUGAGAAAGCCGGAGAGUUAAUCAAAGGGGGGACAGCUCCUUUGAUAAAAGACACAACUUUCCCAGGAGGAUAAGGAUCAAAUUUAUUAAAGUGAAAUGCCUAAGUGGGCUUAAAAGCAGCCACCUCACCAGAGGGCGUUAAAGCCCUGACAUUCUAAUGAACUGAUUAUAAUGAUAAAUUCUUCCAACACCCCUACCGCUAUUAGGCCGUCCCAUCCCCCGAUGGGAGUGAUUAUGCUAAUAUGAGUAAUAAGAGGGCUCAGCCCCUCUCCCCGCGCAAGAGUUAAUCGGAACGGACCCCCCACCGAGAAUUAACGGCCCCAACAAAGAGGACACUGGACCCCACAUUAAAAGACUAGAAAAACCUCCAGCAACACGAGCCGUAUACCCCACACUGGAGCGCUGUCUCAGGGAAAGGUUAAAAGGGGGGGAAGGAACUCGGCAAACACAAGCCUCGCCUGUUUACCAAAAACAUCGCCUCUUGUAAACUACAAAUAAGAGGUCCCGCCUGCCCGGUGACUAUAUGUUUAACGGCCGCGGUAUUUUGACCGUGCAAAGGUAGCGCAAUCACUUGUCUUUUAAAUGGAGACCUGUAUGAAUGGCACAACGAGGGCUUAACUGUCUCCCCCCCCCCACCAAUGAAAUUGAUCUCCCCGUGCAGAAGCGGGGAUACAGACAUAAGACGAGAAGACCCUAUGGAGCUUUAGACACCAAAGCGGACCAUGUUAAUUACCCUCAACAGAAGCCUAAACUUAGUGGCCCCUGCUCUAAUGUCUUUGGUUGGGGCGACCACGGAGAAAAAAACAACCCCCGUGCGGAACGAGAGUACCACUCUUAAAAACUAGAGCUCCCGCUCUAAUUACCAGAAUUUCUGACCAAAUAGAUCCGGCACCGCCGAUCAACGGACCCAGUUACCCUAGGGAUAACAGCGCAAUCCUCUUUUAGAGUUCAUAUCGACAAGAGGGUUUACGACCUCGAUGUUGGAUCAGGACCUCCUAAUGGUGCAGCCGCUAUUAAGGGUUCGUUUGUUCAACGAUUAAUAGUCCUACGUGAUCUGAGUUCAGACCGGAGUAAUCCAGGUCGGUUUCUAUCUAUGAUGUAUACUUUCCCAGUACGAAAGGACCGAAAAGUAGGGGCCUAUAUCUUUAACACGCCCCCUUCUCACCUGGUGAAGCCAACUCAACCAGAUAAGAAAACACCUCACCCCGCCAAAGAUCUUUGGCUA
rnacentral:rRNA from 1 species